rnacentral:rRNA from 1 species
CAGUGCUUAACGCUGUUGUGCUAUAGAAACUGUUUUACUAGAGUGAGAUAGAGGCAAGCGGAAUUCCAUGUGUAGCGGUAAAAUGCGUAAAUAUAUGGAGGAACACCAGAGGCGUAGGCGGCUUGCUGGGUCUUUACUGACGCUGAGGCACGAAAGCGUGGGGAGCAAACAGGAUUAGAUACCCUGGUAGUCCACGCCGUAAACGAUGAGUACUAAGUGUCGGGUAAAACUGGUACUGAAGUUAACACAUUAAGUACUCCGCCUGAGUAGUACGUACGCAAGUAUGAAACUUAAAGGAAUUGACGGGACUCCGCACAAGCGGUGGAUCAUGUUGUUUAAUUCGAAGAUACACGAAAAACCUUACCAGGUCUUGACAUUUUCUUGCGAAGUUAUAGAAAUAUAAUGGAGGUUAUCAGGAAAACAGGUGGUGCAUGGUUGUCGUCAGCUCGUGUCGUGAGAUGUUAGGUUAAGUCCUAAAACGAGCGCAACCCUUGUCGUUAAUUGCCAGCAUGUAAUGAUGGGGACUUUAACGAGACUGCCAAUGAAAAAUUGGAGGAAGGUGGGGAUUACGUCAAAUCAUCAUGCCCCUUAUGAUCUGGGCUACAAACGUGAUACAAUGGUUGAUACAAAGAGUAGCUGAAACGCGAGUUCUUAGCCAAUCUCAAAAAAUCAAUCUCAGUUCGGAUUGAAGUCUGCAACUCGACUUCAUGAAGUUGGAAUCGCUAGUAAUCGCGAAUCAGCA